GAUGAACGCUAGCGGCAGGCCUAACACAUGCAAGUCGAGGGGUAGAGGAAGCUUGCUUCCUUGAGACCGGCGCACGGGUGCGUAACGCGUAUGCAAUCUACCUUUUACAGAGGGAUAGCCCAGAGAAAUUUGGAUUAAUACCUCAUAGUAUAUAUCAUUCGCAUGUUUGGUAUAUUAAAGUUCCAACGGUAAAAGAUGAGCAUGCGUCCCAUUAGUUAGUUGGUAAGGUAACGGCUUACCAAGACGAUGAUGGGUAGGGGUCCUGAGAGGGAGAUCCCCCACACUGGUACUGGGACACGGACCAGACUCCUACGGGAGGCAGCAGUGAGGAAUAUUGGUCAAUGGACGCAAGUCUGAACCAGCCAUGCCGCGUGCAGGAAGACGGUCCUAUGGAUUGUAAACUGCUUUUGUACGGGAAGAAACACUCCUACGUGUAGGAGCCUGACGGUACCGUAAGAAUAAGGAUCGGCUAACUCCGUGCCAGCCGCCGCGGUAAGAC
rnacentral:rRNA from 1 species